AUUGUGUCGAUCCUUCAUUGUUGUACCUCUGUUUCCCAUCAUACUGAUCUGUUCAAUUACUACAAAAGGGGAAUGGAGAGUUAAUCAGUAGUAAAAGUACUAAGAGAGAGAAUUCUCCAUGUCCAGAGGUUACUGUAUUUCAAAACUUGAUUUAUAACUUGACAAUGACAUUUAGAAAGCGUUCCGCUAUGUGCAGGAUAUCCUUCUCAUUAAUGAAAUAACAUAAUAACUCAUAAAUAUUUCAUGUAUGUGGAAAAGGCUUACUUUAUAUAUACUUACAUACAAAUAUAGAAACCUAUACACAGAGAAAUGGAGAACAGAAAAGUACUUCCAAGCAUCAGAAAACUAUGUAUAAAAAUGUGAUGUUUGCAUGUGUGCAGACUUGCAUGCACAGGGUGAGCACUGUUACAAAAAUAACUUUGGUGAAAAUAACUGAACUUCAAGUUGCCUCUGAUUUGGAUAGUUUGCUUGUAAUUUGAAAUUCUGCAGCCAAGAUAAUUUUUAAAAAUUUAGGGCAAGUAACCAUCUGCCAUAAAUGACAGAAAUUGAAUGUAAAUAAAAUAGUACUUCUACUAUAGUGGUGGGAAUCACAAGCCAAAUGUAUCCACGGUGUAGGUAGCAGGAACGCUUGUAGAACAAAAGCAGCUAAAGGAACAGGUUUGGCCCAGACACGUUUUGAUGUGUGGUUUAUCUUGUUGGCUGAACAACAGCAUUAUUAAGCAACUUGGGCUGGAGCAUCAAUGGGCUCCGUGAAGAAUUUAAAGAAGAUCUUGACUUGAAUGUGUUGGGAGAGGAAUCGUGCUGUGUCAUUCAGUAAAAAUAUAAUCAGUCUUACGCCACUGGCACAUUCAAACACCUAGCGGGAUAUAUUGGGUAUUGGUGUUUAAGGUUUUAUGUAAGGUAACAGCUGCUUUGGUCAGGCAGUUAAUUAAAUGUGUUAAUUUUCCAUACUACCAACAGUAGUGACAACAGAUCAAAGUGGAAUUUUAUGACAUUUCAGGGUUCCCUUAUGUGAUCACAACGGCGGAUGGCACCCACACAAUCUUUCACAUCCCUUCACUAUAUGAUGAUGCCUUUCCCCCCUGAAAAGCUUCAGUCUUUGACUCUUCAGGUAGUGCAAUGGAUGACAAAUUCAACCUUUUCCACAAUAUUGCUACUUCCAUAACACAGUAAUAACUCAAAGGCAUCGGGAAAGAUAAGUGAAGCUAUGCCUACUUAUAAACACAAACAUUCAUUGGCUGCAUCAACAGGAAUUUCUCUCUACACCAAAAGUAGAACCUCAGCACAGAAUAUGAAGUUGCCUGGUCAACUCUGCAAGAUUCUACAGCUACUGAGGUUGCACCAUAAAUAUUUUCCAGGUUAGUAAAACUUAGCCAUGCACGCAAAUAUGGUAUGCUUGCUAGCAUUACACAGCUCCAAACCUAGAGCUCUAUGAAUGCAGUCACACACACAUUGUUUUUUUUUUUUUUUUCACCACUUUGUUGAUGGAGCCUAUGAAUGUGGAUUCUCUCAGAUCUUUAGAUACUGUCAGAGUUGGAAGCUGAAAAUCAGCCAACCUGAAAUCCCUCCUUAACUCCCCAACUGGAAACUCCCUCCAACUCUUAGAUGUACUGCUAACCACUGAACAUUGCAAAUGGGGCACACAGCACCAGUGAGACCUGACGUGAUGUCCAAAAAACUGCUAACAGCUCUGAAUACAAACUGAAAUGUGGGCCCAACUUUCUGAAAUUAUUCACCACCCUAUUUUCAUAAUUUCCUAUUAAUUUCUUGCAGAGCUGUUGCUCUUCUGUAGGCCUGAUUUUUCCCUGCUGAUUGUCUUGGAAGACAUCCUUGAUGUCUGGAGUUUUCACUGUGUUCUAGGGCAGCUGAGAACAAAUCUGAGUAAUAUUCAUUCACCGCUGCAGUUCUGUAACUAUCUUUUCAAAAUGUUAAUUACUUGCAGGCUGAAUAUCUUGAAAUUCUUCCUCCUUUGCUACCAAAGAGAAACUUGUGUAAAUUCUCACUUUGUCGUCACACCUGUUGGAAAUCACUGUUACAACUUAGGUGUGAAAAAAUGUGACUGAACUAUACGUAGUAAGGAAAGUACACACACCAAUCUCAAUGUAAGUCCAUCACUGCUGCUAUAAAACAGACAAAACUACUUUGGUGACAUUCGCUGUUACUGUACGUUGACAAGUUCCCAUUUAAUUUACUACAUAUGGUUCUACGUCUCCAUAGCUACUCUCGUGAAUUCAUUAUUCAUUAAAUAAGUGAUGAAUUUACUCAAAUAUUGCAGCCACAUGGCCGACACAAAUGCAUUCUAAUAUUAUUAACACGUUGCCAACUUGCAACUCUUCGAAGUCUGAGUAAAUGUUUUGACAAGAAGAGGCAGCAAGAACAAAUAAGUAGUAGCAGUCUAGAUGAAGUUCAGCCAUAGUUCUAACAGCUUUAAAGUCUUAACAGUGUUUUCACUGGGGCAGUACCAGAUAAAUUGCUCUUAUGUGUGCAUACAAGAGACUAAAAUUCCUUUGAAAGUUUAUAAUUUCUCAUGGGAAAACACAACAUAAAAGUUACUUUUACUCACAGAAAAACAACACCAUAUUUUCCUGUCAACCUUUGCUGUUGGGAAUUUCAAACUUUUUGCAUUUUUUCCCUGUGAUUCUUUGUCGACCCGAGGGACAGGCGUUUACAACAUAAUUUACUUUCAGCAUGUCUCUGUAAAUCAUUGUAAUACUUUCUAUGGCUAGUAAGACAGAAAAGUUGGACUGACAAAGUACUUUUCUGAGCCUCCAGCAACAGACUAAAAACACCUCUGUCUCAGAAACAUGGAUUGACACACAAAAGAAGAGUUUUAUGACGGCUUUGCAUGAAUGUUUGUAUUUAGAGGUUGUAGUAUUUAUUAGGAAAUAUUUAUUAAACUGUAUUUACUUGCAGUAAAAUAUAUGGAAUGCCUGGAAAAUAAAAAGUGUGUUGGUGGUACAAAUUAAAAUCACCAGCAUCCCAUGUUCGGAGACGGCCGUUAUUUUCCCUUGCUGUUAUUGAGGUCUGUUGUUGUCACUGUUGUUGCAUAGGCUUAGCAGAGCUGUCUCGGAUUAGGUGAUUUAAGCAUGGCCUCCCAUAAAAAAAAGCUGGAAACCUGUAGAGCCUUUCAGCCUCACUUUUUGAGGCUGCUGCUAAUAUCAAGGCUCAUUCAGUUUUACAUUAGAACUUGAUGACUUGCACAUUGGUUGAACCUUCACCUUUUACAACCUUAAUGGGGAUUUAUUAGCUAUUUCACAGUGUGUAAAUUUGAAUCUAGGUCAGAUGAGGAAGAAAAAUAGGGCAAAUCUGGGCCUUAAGUAUAACCUGCAUAUAAUAUAUCAGGAUAAAAAAAAAGGUGCAAAAUUAAACAGAUGAUUAAAAGUGUCUAGAGCAGUCAGAGUCUGAAAAAAGAGC